AUGAACGCUGGCGGCGUGCCUCAUACAUGCAAGUCGCGCGAACGGACGAGAAGCUUGCUUCUCUGAUGUUAGCGGCGGACGGGUGAGUAACACGUGGAUAACCUACCUAUAAGACUGGGAUAACUUCGGGAAACCGGAGCUAAUACCGGAUAAUAUUUUGAACCGCAUGGUUCAAAAGUGAAAGACGGUCUUGCUGUCACUUAUAGAUGGAUCCGCGCUGCAUUAGCUAGUUGGUAAGGUAACGGCUUACCAGGGCAACGAUGCAUAGCCGACCUGAGAGGGUGAUCGGCCACACUGGAACUGAGACACGGUCCAGACUCCUACGGGAGGCAGCAGUAGGGAAUCUUCCGCAAUGGGCGAAAGCCUGACGGAGCAACGCCGCGUGAGUGAUGAAGGUCUUCGGAUCGUAAAACUCUGUUAUUAGGGAAGAACAUAUGUGUAAGUAACUGUGCACAUCUUGACGGUACCUAAUCAGAAAGCCACGGCUAACUACGUG
rnacentral:rRNA from 1 species